UGCAGUCGAACGAUGAUCCCAGCUUGCUGGGGGAUUAGUGGCGAACGGGUGAGUAACACGUGAGUAACCUGCCCUUGACUCUGGGAUAAGCCUGGGAAACUGGGUCUAAUACCGGAUACGACCAUUCCACGCAUGUGGUGGUGGUGGAAAGCUUUUGUGGUUUUGGAUGGACUCGCGGCCUAUCAGCUUGUUGGUGGGGUAAUGGCCUACCAAGGCGACGACGGGUAGCCGGCCUGAGAGGGUGACCGGCCACACUGGGACUGAGACACGGCCCAGACUCCUACGGGAGGCAGCAGUGGGGAAUAUUGCACAAUGGGCGCAAGCCUGAUGCAGCGACGCCGCGUGAGGGAUGACGGCCUUCGGGUUGUAAACCUCUUUCAGUAGGGAAGAAGCGAAAGUGACGGUACCUGCAGAAGAAGCGCCGGCUAACUACGUGCCAGCAGCCGCGGUAAUACGUAGGGCGCAAGCGUUAUCCGGAAUUAUUGGGCGUAAAGAGCUCGUAGGCGGUUUGUCGCGUCUGCUGUGAAAGACCGGGGCUCAACUCCGGUUCUGCAGUGGGUACGGGCAGACUAGAGUGCAGUAGGGGAGACUGGAAUUCCUGGUGUAGCGGUGAAAUGCGCAGAUAUCAGGAGGAACACCGAUGGCGAAGGCAGGUCUCUGGGCUGUAACUGACGCUGAGGAGCGAAAGCAUGGGGAGCGAACAGGAUUAGAUACCCUGGUAGUCCAUGCC
rnacentral:rRNA from 1 species